GCCGCGUUAGCUCAGAUGGCAGAGCAUCGCUCUUGUAAAGCGAAUGUCGAGAGUUCGAUUCUCUCACGCGGCU
rnacentral:tRNA from 2 species